rnacentral:rRNA from 1 species
UAAGUAGGGGGCGAGAGUUGUCCGGAAUCACUGGGCGUAAAGGGCGCGUAGGCGGCCUGAGAAGUCGCAGGUGAAAUCCCACGGCUCAACCGUGGAACUGCCUGCGAAACCAUUGGGCUUGAGGACAGGAGAGGGAAGCGGAAUUCCUGGUGUAGCGGUGAAAUGCGUAGAUAUCAGGAGGAACACCAGUGGCGAAGGCGGCUUUCUGGCCUGGUCCGGAAGCGGAGGCGAGAAAGCUAGGGGAGCACACAGGCUGCGAUAACACCGUAGUCC